CAUGGCUCUCCACGUGGCGUCAUCUUCGGAACUCCCCCAGGGCAGGAAUGCAGCAAGGGUACGAAGCUCUGGCGGGUGCGUGGAGAGUCCUAUUU
rnacentral:SRP_RNA from 1 species